AUACGUAGGUGACAAGCGUUAUCCGGAUUUACUGGGCGUAAAGGGCGUGUAGGCGGUCUUGCAAGUCAGAAGUGAAAUUCCUGAGCUCAACUCGGGCGCUGCUUCUGAAACUGCAGGACUUGAGUGCUGGAGGGGAUAGCGGAAUUCCUAGUGGAGCGGUAAAAUGCGCAGAUAUUAGGAAGAACACCGGUGGCGAAGGCGGCUAUCUGGACAGUAACUGACGCUGAGGCGCGAAAGCGUGGGGAGCAAACAGGAUUAGAUACCCUGUGAGUCCACGCCGUAAACGAUGAAUACUAGGUGUAGGGGGUAUCGACUCCCUCUGUGCCGCAGUUAACACAAUAAGUAUUCCGCCUGGGGAGUACGGCCGCAAGGUUGAAACUCAAAUGAAUUGGCGGGG
rnacentral:rRNA from 1 species